CGCGACCUCUGCACAUGACUUGUUUUCACAGUGCGGCUCUUGUGCAGAACUCACGCGUUCCGGCUGAAAGGAGUUUAUGGAUGACAAGAGGUCUGUCCACAGGACACAGGACUGUACACGCUGCAGAACGGACAGCUUAUCUGCAUUCAGCAAGUGCAUGUCCCAGAACACCUCAAACAGGAUUAGAAAUCAUCCUUGAACUAAAGUUAUGGGGACACGAAAGGUUUUGGUGACAGGAUGCUCCUCUGGAAUUGGUUUGGCGCUGGCUGUCCGUCUUGCAAAGGAUAAAUUAAGGCGCUUCAAAGUUGUGGCCACUAUGAGGGACCUGGAUAAGAGAGAAGCUCUGGAGAGAGCAGCUGGAGAAUCCCUCAACAGAUCCCUGGAGAUCCGACAGCUGGAUGCCACCUGUGAGGACUCACUAUCAGAGAGUGUGUGAACAGCUUGCCAAAUCGACAAGUGGAUGUGUUAGGUGACAUUAAGAGUUUCUUUUCCAAUUAAAAUUCCCUUAAUUCACUCCAUCUUUGUUUCUGAGCAAUGCAGCUUCAUAGCGGUAUGACCAAAAAUGUAGUGUCUUUUGACUUGACUAAAAGCUUUUCAAUAAAAGUAGUAAGUUUUUAUACCACAUUUGUGC